CCCCUAGAUGUUCUGGGCCGCACGCGCGCUACACUGGUCGAUGCAACGAGUUUCUUUCCUUGGCCGACAGGCCUGGGCAAUCUUUGAACAUCGAUCGUGAUCGGGAUAGAUUCUUGUAAUUUUUGAUCUUAAACGAGGAAUUCCUAGUAAACGCAAGUCAUCAGCUUGCAUUGAUUACGUCCCUGCCCUUUGUACACACCGCCCGUCGCACCUACCGAUUGAAUGGUCCGGUGAAAUCUCCGGACUGGCGUGAGUCGGAGCAAUCUGACAAACGCCGGAAAGAUGAUUAAACCUUACCAUUUAGAGGAAGGUGAAGUCGUAACA
rnacentral:rRNA from 1 species